UAAUCAAGAUCUAUAUUUUGAUAAAACGGGUCUUUCAUCGCGAAAUGCAUCAAAUCACAUGGAUCCAAGGACGGUGACACAGUUGCCAGCGCCACCAUCAUCGAAUCCAGGACUACAUCUCCAGACUUCCGGAUAACUGUUCCAUUUUACGGCCGAAUCAAAAGCAAUAUUAACAGCGCUAGAGUUCUUUAGUAAACAAUCUAAAUAUAAGCAAUUUAUCAUAUUUUCAAAUUCUCUUUCUUGUCUUCAGGCAAUUAAACACAUCCACUUGUAAUUAUUGAAUUAUUAAAUGUUCUUUCUACGA